rnacentral:rRNA from 1 species
GGGACGAUGAUGACGGUACCCGUAGAAGAAGCCCCGGCUAACUUCGUGCCAGCAGCCGCGGUAAUACGAAGGGGGCUAGCGUUGCUCGGAAUGACUGGGCGUAAAGGGCGCGUAGGCGGUGAACACAGUUAGGCGUGAAAUUCCCGGGCUCAACCUGGGGGCUGCGUUUAAUACAUGUUCGCUUGAGUUCGGAAGAGGGUCGUGGAAUUCCCAGUGUAGAGGUGAAAUUCGUAGAUAUUGGGAAGAACACCGGUGGCGAAGGCGGCGACCUGGUCCGAUACUGACGCUGAGGCGCGAAAGCGUGGGGAGCAAACAGGAUUAGAUACCCUGGUAGUCCACGCCGUAAACGAUGUGUGCUGGAUGUUGGGCAGCCUAGCUGUUCAGUGUCGUAGCUAACGCGAUAAGCACACCGCCUGGGGAGUACGGCCGCAAGG